rnacentral:lncRNA from 1 species
GUGAAGGAGAGUGAGGGAGAGGGACUGUUUCAGUUUUGGGAGGAUUACCGAGUUGAAUGAAUCGCUGGUUAACUCAGUGAUUUGAUACAAGAAGAGGCGUUCUACAGGAGGGAACUUGAACCAGUAAGUGUCGAAGUAGGUGAGCGGAAGAGUGAACGGAGCCGCGGUUGUUGAGUUGGAGGAGAACGGGGUGAGUUUAGUAACCUCGUGAACUUUUACUUUGCUAUUGUUUUGGGUUUCCGCCAUGAGACUGAUGAUCAGUAGAGAUGAAAUCAGAUGAUCAAGCAAAGAGAUAAGUAGAGACCAGUAGAAUGGCCUUAAGUAAUGAUAUGGCCUCUUCAAGAUUCGGCAAUGAUAUAUGGCCCAUUCAAUUGCAAAAAUGGCCUUUAGUAAUGUAGAAUCAGAAAUAUGGACAGAAACGUCCACCUUAUCUUUUCCAUUUUUAGUUCAAUGAAAGCUAAGCUGUACUAUAUAAAAAAAAAAAAGCAAAGAGAUAAGAAGCAAUGCUAAGCUGUAGGCUGUAGCUGUUUGGGGCAUCUCUGGCUUUUGAAAACGUGUUUAAGUCAAAUUGGCCCUUGACAUAAUGACCCGUUAUCAUUAAUUUAUGAAUUAAAUCGCGUGGAAAAAUGGAAAUGAAUAAUAAUGCGAGUAAAUUUGCGGCGUGACGAGAGAUGGCGGUAAAAUUUUUUUUUGGUUUUGACCACGAGAUAUUUUGGGGAGAACCCUAAUUAUGGAAGAUAUUUUUAAGCUUGUACCAUAAUUUAGAUUAGAAGUCUCCGCUCGAACUGAGAGACACAAGUUCUUCCAAUAAUGACGACUUUCCUGCAACUCGAACUGGGGAGCAAACCCAAUCAAAUCACUUAAGGGGACUCUAUUGCCAGUAGAGCCAACACUUUAUUAAUAGAUGACAGUAAAAUUUGACAAAGGAGAAAGUGAUAUUCACAUUAUUUGUCAUCAUUCAUUCACUCCAUGCUGUUAAAUUAUAGCACAAGUUAAUUAUUAAAAAUAAUGUCCACAGCCCACUAGCCCAUUGGCUACAACCCAGGUACUUCACUUUGGGUGCCAAGCUGGGGCUUAAUUUUAUCUCAGAACUAGAAAAUAGAAUUGCGUUUCACGCGGUUUUAAAAAAAGAAUUUAGUAUUAUCAUUUUUUUCUUACUUUACACUUGAUGAAACUGAUAAAAAAUAUGAAUUGAUUUUUUUUAAGAUGAGGCAGCCUUAUAAAAAAUUAAAAAAAAACCAUUAGCCAACAAUACAAAUAAAGAAGCAACGCAAGAUAAAGAAUAAAAUGAGAGAAUAUAUUAUACAAUGAUUUUAUUCAUUCCAAUUGUGUGUGUAUAAAACAAAAAGAUGAGCUCUCCUUUUAUAGUUACAUAAUCACUCCAUGAAAUUAAUGAAAAAUUAUGGAUCAUAAUUCCUUGUGAGAUAGUGAGAGUUAUAUGGAAGCUAAAAGUUACUAAUGGGAGAUAGUAGAGAGACUAAGAGAUAUAUGUUAUGAACAUCUACAUUUAUUUUAAUAAAUUCAUAACAUUUCUCCUUGCAUGUUCAUUACAAAUAAUAUGCCUCAUUAAAACCUUUACUUAUUGUGUAAUAACAAUCAAAUUAAUUGUGAGAAGAUAAAAAACUAAAUCUAAAAGAAAAUUUAUCUAUUUAUUAGAUAAUAGAGAAUAUACAAAGAUGAGAAAUGGUGAUGCCACAUCACCUCCUCAAGUCCCAACUUUAUAUAUAUACUAGAAAAUAAAACGCGCUUCACGCGGCUUUGAAAAAAGAAUUUAGUAUUAUUUUUUUUUUCUUACUUUACACUUAAUGAAACUGAUAAAAAAUAUGAAUUGAUUUUUUUAAAGAUGAGGCAGUCUUAUAAAAAAUAAAAAAAAACUAUUAGUCAGCAAUACAAAUAAAGAAGCAACGCAAGAUAAAGAAUAAAAUGAGAGAAUAUAUUACAGAGUGAUUUUAUUCAUUCCAAUUGUGUGUGUACAAAACAAAAAGAUGAGCUCUCCUUUUAUAGUUACAUAAUCACUCCAAGAAAUUAAUGAAAAAUUAUGGAUCAUAAUUCCUUGUGAGAUAGUGGGAGUUAUAUGGAAGCUAAAAGUUACUAAUGGGAGAUAGUAGAGAGACUAAGAGAUAUAUGUUAUGAACAUCUACAUUUAUUUUAAUAAAUUCAUAACAUUUCUCCUUGCAUGUUCAUUACAAAUAAUAUGCCUCAUUAAAACCUUUACUUAUUGUGUAAUAACAAUCAAAUUAAUUGUGAGAAGAUAAAAAACUAAAUCUAAAAGAAAAUUUAUCUAUUUAUUAGAUAAUAGAGAAUAUACAAAGAUGAGAAAUGGUGAUGCCACAUCACCUCCUCAAGUCCCAACUUUAUAUAUAUAUAUAUAUAGAUAUAUAGAUAUAGAGAGAUAGAGUCGGUAUUCCUCUGCUUAAGAGUCGGUUUCUUUCAGUAAUAUAUGAAUUAUGAAGACGGAAUAUUGGAGCUGUAUCUUAAAACCGCAUCAAAGACAAAGAGUCCUGAUAUGAAAUGUUAGUAGGCUGUAUUUUAAAACCACAUUAAAAACAAAGAGUUCCAUGGAUUUUUUAUUGUAAAUAUCAGUGUACUUCUGAUUGUAAUAUCAGUGUAUAAAAAAUAAUAAUAAUGUCCAUAAUUUUUAACACGUGACAAAUUUUAUAAAAAAUAAUAAUAAUGUCCAUAAUUUUUAACACGUGACAAAUUUUAUCCAAUGAUACAUUAUUUAAAAUCCUAAAUAAAUAAUGUCCACAAUUUUUAAUAUGUGACGAGCUUUAUUGGGUGACACAUUAUUUAAAAUAUAAAUUAUAUACUUAUUUUCAAAUGCUCGACUUUGUUUUUUCUAAUGGAAGUCCGCCGUGUGUAAAUUCACAAAUUAUAAAAUUAUAUUAUUAUUAUUGUUAUUAUCAUCAUCAUCAUCAUCAUCUCACUGUAUCAAUAGGACGACAUAUGCUGACCUAAUAAAAACAAUAACAGAUAUCAAGUAUAAAACAUGGAACAAUUAAUCAUAUCAAUCUAUAAAUCAAACUAUUGUGUAGGCUUGAUCAGAAGAUUUUUUAUUAGUUUUCUUUAAUUAAUUAUCCGAGUUCAAAUCUCAAUGUGGAAUUAAUCCACCCUUAUCUUUUAAAAAUUAAUAAAUAAAAAAUUAUGAGGGAAUGAAUCGAUAAUUUAAUUUUUUUUUAUACUUGCCGCUGAAAUAUAAAUCUUAAGGACAGUAAGGACCUAAAAAUUAAUUUUAACUUCUACAAAUAGAUAAAUAAAUCUAUAUUUAUUGAAACACAUAAUAAUAACAUUUUUUUUCCCUUUUCACUGGAUCUUAUCAAUACACAAGUAUAAUACUGUAGACAAAUGAGAUUGAUUGAUCGUGCAGCGGAGACGCAGGAGUAAUUUCACCUGUACUCUUUUAUUAUUCAUUGACAAUAGAAAUUCAAAGAAAUUAAACUUGUUUAAUGUCGAAGCCACGCACUUGAGGGUCAACUAAUGUUUACCAGCCACACCAUAAUUGUGCCACCAAGGAUUGUCCCUCUGGAGAUUCCCACCCUUGUCUGUUUUCACAUACAACAGAAAUUUUGUCAUUAAAUAAUUAUAUCUGAAAGCCUAUUCAUAAACUUAGAAUCAAACAUUUCCUUUUAAGUACUGUGUAUGAGACUCUGAGCUGAUUAUCUGAAUGGAUUAAAGUUAAAGAAAAAAAAAAUAAAAAAAUAAAAAUUGAUACUCACAAAUUGAAUGAUUGUUGGUAGCUUCCCACAGAGUCGUCGACCUCGGGGAUGCUGCUGAGGCUAGGAGAAGCAUGAUAACAAAGAUCACCUGCCAAACAAGGAAGCACUUCUUUGAAGUCAUUUUCCCUUAAUAAGUUGUGUAAUACUCUUCAAGUUCAAACGUUUUUGUCUAUUUAUAGGGGGCCGUGGAACCAUGAAACUUCUUAACUACCUCGUAAGUAAUGUCAUUUGAUUAAAAAAAGGUGGAAAAUCUCAAGUAAUUUUUUUAAAAAAUUUUUAAACUAGCAAUGGGUGUAUUGAAUUGACCACUAAACCCUUACAGCUUUCACAAUCUCUCUUAUUUCCUUUGACGUUAAAAUUUUAAUUAAAAAAAAUAGUUGUUUGUUAGCUGAGAUAAGGUUUUUUAUGUUAAGGAUAAGCGGUCAAAACAGAAAAGAUACAUAUUAGUGGGUUCAUUCAUUCAUGUAGGCCACUUUUAUUAUUAAAUAUUUAAUUGAUAUCACUAAUUAUUGGAACUAAAGUCUAAGCAUGUUUUCUUGAUUUUAUUUUCUUUUCAGUUCCAAAUCCACUGCGAAAAAGUUGCCUCGACUAUUCUUGGAAAGUCUAGAUGUGGAGCGGCAAUUACUUCAAUUAAUUUUAAUUAUAAAAUUAGCACCAACUCACGUUACUGUUUGACGUGGGUUAUGAACUGUCACCUACCCACCAAUGAACCCCAUUCUAAUUUCAUUAAGAUAAACUUUUUGUAUAAAGGGUAUAAGUUUCUUUAGCCCCUAUAUUACGAAGUUGGUGACCGUUUAGUUAUUAUAUUUUUUAAAAUAACUCAAAAUAUCUCUACUAUUAUUUUUUGUUCCUUUUAUCUUACUUAUAUAAUAUUAUUCUCUUACAAUAAUAUUUUUUUUUUGGACAUUAAUGAAAAGAAAAAAAUUAAAUUAAUAAUUUAACCCGAAAAAAUAAAAUAAAAACAAAAAGAAUAUCUAUUAAUUUUUGUGAAAGCUCACAUAUAUCCAUAAAAAAAUAAUAUUCUAAAAAAGUAAACUACCAUUUUUUGACAUUAAUAAAAAUAUUAAUAUAUUAACUCCUCUAUAGAAUAUUCCAUAAAAUUAAUAUAUACUCUUUUUGUUUCUAUUCUAUUUUUUGGAGUUAAAUUGGUAAUUUAAAUUUUUUUAUAAUUAAUGUAAGAAAAUACAUUAUUGUAAAAGUAAGCCAAAAGGAAUAAAAAAUAAUGACAGGAAUAUCUUGAGGUAUUUUUAAAAAUAUAAAAAUUAAACGGGCACUAAUAUCAAAUUAUAGAAACUUAACGAGCUUUACCCUUAGUUCAAAACUUGAGAAACUUUUAUAUUAAUUCAAUUAUUAUUUACUCUUAUGUGGGGGAUAGAGAUCCAAUCGUACUCAAUAAUAAAAAGAUGCAUGGCUGAAUAUCUAUCCACCACCUACGGUUUCACACUUUAUUGAAAAUACAUAAACACUUUUUUUUUUCUUUUUCAACUAUCCACUUAAAGUUAUAAAGUAUAUCAAUAUUCCACUUUUCCAUUAGCAUUGAGAGUAUUAUGCAGAAUAUGAAUAAAAUGAUUAUUUUUACCCUUGAGUUAAGGGCAUUUGUGAUUUUGUAUAAUAAAAUAAUAAAAGAAAAUGAAGUAAAAAACAGAAAAUAGUUUCCUUCAUUGUCCUCUCCUUAUUCAAAUUAUAGGAUUUAAAAAAUAAACAAAAUUUGUAUUAAAUCUUUCAUCACCAACAUAAAAUCAAAAUUAAAAAAUAAAAAUAUCUCGCCAUCUAAAUCCUAACCCUACGCCGCCCGUGCUUCAAUUCCGUACUUCUCAUUAAAUUGAAUUUACCAAGCACUUUUCCAUGCAUCAUUCGUGGUUUUCCUUGAUUCCAUUUCAUAGUUUCACUUCAAUUUUGAAACCACCAAAAUUACCCUUCACCUAAACUUAACCUAGAGACAUUCCAUUCUCUCUCAAUUGCUUCAAUUUUUUAUCUACUCUCUUCAAUUGUCGUCAUCAAAAACUUUCCCACCAUUUUUUUUUGUUGGUUCCAUUUUAUGUUCGAACUUCUAUUUUGAAAACCCCCCAUAAUCGCCUCUCACCAAAAUCGAACUUAGACAAUGGCUGGUGCUGAAAGCUCUAGUGCACCAAGACAGCUGUACUCAAAACCACCAAAAUCUUCGAAUCAACAAAUCUUCAAUGUCCAAAUCUUGUUUCACAGUUAAAAAUGGAAGGAUUUUAGUGAAAAUAAUAUUGAGAUUGAAUAGUAGAACCAAGUUUCUAAAACAAUAAAACUCUGGAGGACGAUUUGUAAGCCUCAGUUUUCAAUGAGGUUCAUAUCACAUAUACUUCACUUAUAUACAAGCUAAGAAUACAUAUGAUAAACAUUAGCUUACAAGAUAACUACAAGGAUAAUUACAAGACUAACGAUAACUACAAAGAUAAUUACAAGACUAACGAUAAGAAUAUUUUCAGUUUUAUCUUUAUCGUUAUCACACCCCCGCAAGCUGACAGGACAAGAACAAACUGGAAGCUUGGAAAUUAGAUAGCAAAAGCGAGAAGUAGACAGGUCUUUAGUAAGACAAUCAGCAAGUUGAUCGAGAGUAGAGAUAUAACGAACAUCAAGCUCUCCGCGAACAAUAUUUUCUCGAACAUAAUGAUAGUCAACCUCUACAUGACGAGUCCGGGCAUGAAACACAGGAUUGGAGGCCAAGGAAAUGGCACUUAUGUUAUCACACCACAUGCGAGGACAAGACAGAGGAAUAUGUAAGUCUUUGAACAAAGAUCGAAACCAAGAUAAAGUAGCAGCUGUAUAUGCAAGCUAUCUGUACUCAGCCUCGGUACUGGAACGAGAAACCCUUUUUUGCUUCUUAGAACUCCAAGAAAUGAGAUUAGUGUUGUGCAAAUUUUAAUGUACUCGCAAGCGCACGAAUCUAUUGUAGUAUAGAUUUAUGGUGACGAGUGUCGAUCCCACGAGGAGGUGGAUUUUAAUUGUGUAUAGAAUUAAUUUUGUAAAUGGGUUGUUGGAUUUAUGGUGGAAAUGAUUUGGUAUAUGCUAAAACUUAAAUUAAAAUGGCGAGAAUAAAUUCUAAAAUUGGAAUUGCAAUGGCGAGAAUAAAUUGAAGAUAAUUCUAUUGAAAUGACGUACUUGGGUAUCUGGAUCCGUAUCAACAUGCAUCAUGGGCUAAAUAAUCCGUAUUAAUGCCAAUUAAAUCAUGAGGGGGGAAUCCACACCUCAUGAACCACGCUCUAAUCAAUAUGGUGCUAAGGGCUUAUCGUGCCAAAUAAUAAUAACUUUAUACUAGAGAGCCGGUGUAACCAAGGCGGUAUCUAGACAAGACUAUUAUUAUUUGUCGACGAGAAGUCAAAACAUCCACAAAAAUUAGAGGGGGAGAGAAAAUAAAUUUACCAAAUUAAGCCCAUGACACAUGUUGAGACUUCACCUUCAACCCAAGCUUGAAAGAAAAUUAGCCACUCAUAAUUGAACUAGGGGCAAAAUGGGAAUUUAUUAAAAUACGAAGAAAAUACAAGAUGGAGAAGGAAUUACAGAAAAUGGAUCCCAAAAAUGGAUUCAGAGAUAUCAAAUUAGGGGGGGGGGAGGCCCCUUUUUUAUAGAUACAUGGAGUAAAUCAUGGCCAUCGGAUUAAAAACAGUUUGGACGCUCAGGAUUGCGCCACGUCAUCAGUCAACAGUUUGACCACGCGGAUGAACAGUAACACGGAUUCAGAGAUAUCAAAUUAGGGGGGGGGGAGGCCCCUUUUUUAUAGAUACAUGGAGUAAAUCAUGGCCAUCGGAUUAAAAACAGUUUGGACGCUCAGGAUUGCGCCACGUCAUCAGUCAACAGUUUGACCACGCGGAUGAACAGUAACACGGUUUGACCCGACUUUGAACAGUAACGCGGUUUGACCCGGAUGAACAGUAACGCGGUUUGGUUGAAAAUAAUCCUGUGUGAUGCAUGCACCGUACGCGAGAUUUUUUGUCCACUGAUAUGCUGCCACGUCACCAUCAACAGUACAUGUGAAUAGUGCCAUUUUUCCUUUUAUGCUCCUCCUAAGGUUUUCGACCGUCCUGAGUUCAAAAGUGAUGUCCGUUUUGCCGUCUGAUCUCUCCUUUAUUGUGAAAUGACUAUAAUGCCCCUAAAAUACAUAAAAUACUUAAUUAAAAUAAAACACAUGUAAUUAAAUCACAAGAAGGUUAAAUAUAUAAAAGUAAGGGUUGUUAGUAAGACUUAAAAUGUAAAAUGACGGUUUUCUCCUUUAUAAAUAUGCAUUUUCUAACACUCAACACACCCCCCAACCAGCUUAUUGCUAGUCCCUAGCAAAUAAAGCGAAAACAAAAUUCAAAUUCAAAAUAAUUUUUUUUUUGUUUUAAUAGAAACACUCGUAUUUAUUCCAUCAGAUUAAUGAUAGCAAUCAAAUAAAAGUAUAAGCAUUAUCUCCAGUCUAAAGCAACAUCACACCCACAUCAACCAUCCACAUGAAUUAGCCCAGUAGACUUUGUUUUAGCUACUCUCAAGAAUGACAUGUCAAACCCCAAAAUCUCACUGGAAGUAGUGACACUCUCACAAAUAAAUUAAUCCCAAUAAAAAUAGUCACUCCAAUGAAUGGUAAUUGAGAGAGAAAAUAAUAAAGAAGUGAUAUCACAUGCUCUCACCAAGAUGAAAUAAAUAUGCCCUCAGCUUAGAAAUAAUACGAUCUCAAGUCAAAUAAAAUGUUAGUCAACCCACUUUAUUUAUCUUUUUUUUUUUUAAUUAUGCAUCACUACAUCUUUUUAGCCCAUAUAACUAGCUUCCACUUCAAAUUAUAGUUCCCUAAAAUCAAGAAGGACUUUUAUUAGGACGAAACGUAAGCUAGGGACAUGGCUAACAAAGAAGGAAAAUAAGGAAAACAAAGUGUAUGUUUGAGAAAAAUGCAGAGAUUUUUUUUUUUUUUUUUUUUUGGAAGUUGCAAGGUGGAUUUCACCUAUUUUUAUUCUUUUGAAACAACAACUUUUGUUUUUGUUUUUUUUUUAUUUGGCAUAACUUCACUGAACAAAAUAAUUAUUUACAUUUUCUCAAACAUAAAUAGGUGAUGGAACUUAUAAGAUAUCGGGUAAUACUCCAAAUCGGAGUGGGUCAAGAUGAUAAGUUGACAAAGAAAAGGUUUUUUUUUUUUUUUUUUUUUUUUAAAGGCUCAAAAGGGUUAACUAUGGAUAUUAAAUAAAAGGGAUGGCUUGAAAGGCUCAAACGGAUCAAAGAUGGCCUCUCCAUCGUCUUUUAGGGCUCUAAAUAAUCUUCCAUAUCUACUAGUUAGAUGGGCCUCCAAAUGUAGCAACACACUCUUUUUUCUUUUUCUUUUUUCUCUUUUUUUUUAUUUUACAAUUUUUUUUUUUUAAGGGUUAACUCAAAAGUAAUUUAGAGAUCGUGUAUAAAAUAAUAAACUGCUAAGCUGUAUAAAGAGUGGGCAAAAGGGUUAUUCUCCAAGAAAAAUAAUAGGCUCAAAAACUCACUUGGUACUUAUUAUGACAUGUUCAUUCCUUCAAGCAACUCACAUUUGUCUCCGACAUCAACAUGUAAAGUAGCAAACAUAGCGUAACAUCACUUAAGACAAAAGAUAAUACAAAUACUAAAAUUUGAAAUUAAUCAUGUCAUCCAAUGUUAAAACAAAUCACACAUUUUUUUUUUUUUUUUAAACAUCAUUCUACCCCCCAACCUAUUCUAAACAUGAAAGGAAAAAAUGCAUGCAGAAAUGUGAAAAUGAUGUAUAAAAACUAAUUAGAAAAGUUACACGUAAAAUGAUAGAAAACGAAAAUGAUUUUUUUUUUUUAAAAGAAGAUGCGUUUCUAGAGGAACUACACUCCAUAUUCAGCCAUCUUCGACUCAAAAGUUGGAAAAUGUAUAUUUAUAGAGGAGAAAUUAAAGAAGAAAAAUAAACAUAAACACAUAAUAAAGAAAAAGAAAAUGUCUGAAUUGUUUUUUUUUUUUUGAAUUUUUUUUUUCAAACAAUGAAGAUGCGUUUCUAGAGUAACUACACUCCAUAUUCAGCCAUCUUCAACACAAAAAGUUAGCAACAGUUAGUUUCUACAACAAAAAAUUAGUAAAAACUUAACCAAAAUUCCACAAUUGUCGACUAUUCCCUCCCCCCAACCAGAACGAAACAUUGUCCUCAAUGUUUGAAAUGAAAGAAGUAGAGUUUAAAAGACAUCACCUGGGUGGUGCAACACAGAAGAAAAUAUUUACAGGCGGAGAGUUAAAUCUAAUUUGUACUUCUUACUGCUGCUACUGUUACCAUCAUUAUUUGGGCGCUCCAACACAAAGGUCCAGGGGUCUGGCUCCGGUUUAUACGCUUGUAACAGAUCAAGUAGCUCAUUAGCAGUGUGAGCACAAAUAAAGAGUUUUUUCACAUUAGCGGGAAUGAAAUAGUUUUUUAUUGCAUGGUUAAGAAAUGCGAUAAAGCCAUCAUAAAAGUUAUUGACAUUUAACAAACCGAUGGGUGUUUGGUGGAUGUGCAGAUGGGCCCAAGAUGCUAGCGUGAUAAGUGCCUCUAGUGUUGCAAGAUCUCCUGGAAGGAAAAUAAAAGCAUCAGCAUGAUUAAGCAUUUCAGUUAUUCUUUCUUGCAUACCUGAGACGACUAACUCUUCUCCAGUUGAUGAGUCAGACGAACUGCCCAAUGGUUUUAGGACUCUUGGGAUGAUGCCUAACACUUGACUUCCUCUGAUAAAAGCUGCUUCUGAGACCAUUUUUGAUAACCCUCGAUUACCUCCUCCAUACACCAAGUGUAAUUUUCUCGCUGCUAUGCUUCGACCAAGAUCUAUGGCUGCCUCAACGAACUCUUUAUGUUUGCCAUAGGUAAAUCCAGAAAGCACACAAAUGUUCUUGAAUUGUCUAUUGGGAGUAGCUGACAUUGUGAUACUUCUCAAAAACAAUUUGUGAGUGCUUGACAAAAAGAAAUCACAUUUAAGAGUCUUGGUGAUAGUGGGUCAUGGUUGUGUAUGAGGUAAUAUGUCAGUGUCAAAUAACGCGUAAAGCACGUGCUCGCAAGUCAAAAAGAAAACAGUAAAAAGGAAAAAGCAAACAGUAAUAAAAUUAUUAAAGACAAUAAUGCAAACAAUAAGACAAUAGUGAAAUAAAAUAACAAUAAAGUAAAAGGAUAUUUACAGGUAGUUGCGACUGUGGCUCACAUCUUCCUCUGGUUUUACGUCCAGAAACGGCUUGAACGCCCUCUAUGGGUCGAGGAUAGGCUUCCUAUCCAGUUUUCUUAUAAACAGGCAAACAGGGUCGUUUAUAGUCAGAUUCCCGAGACUAUAUCGUGCAUGCUCUUUCUGGAAUAAUGGCCAUAACUGGAGAAUCGCUCCUUGCACAUAUCCACUGGGAUGCGUUUCAAGAGACAAAAGGAUAUCAUCCAAUGACUCCUUAUUCAAGCCAUCCCUAAUGAAUUGAAUCUUAUCUUCCCUGUUAUCAGACAUCAUUCCUAAAGAACAUGGGUUUUUAUUGCAACUCAUUCUGGCACACUUAUGACAAGCAACAGAAAUUCUUCGAGCUCGUCGUUUUCUUGCAUAAUUUCCUUUACCACAACCAGGCAUGUAUGCAAUAAAUUUUAGAGGUAACUCACCUGCCGAUCGUACUUUAGCCUCGAUUAACCAACGGAUGUCAGCAGGUAUGUUAUUUCUCAUGAGUAAUCGCAUGCGUUCGGACCGAGCUUUAUAGAUCGUAAGGAGGGCAUUCUGUGGAAGUGAAGGGAAUCGCUUGUGAAGCUUCGUUAGAAUCUCGUUUCUGUCCAUACCUUCGCCUCAGAAUAUCAGUUAUUAUGGGAAACUGAAGUAACCGACUUGAUUGUCACGGAGUACCGUUAUCCGCCACUUCACCGGGGUAACAAACUAAAGCACACAAAUAGAAAAACAAAUUAAAACACACAAAGAAAAUUAAAAUCGUCCUCUUAUUGAAUUUACCUCAAGCUCCAACUGGAUGUCGUAAACACUUCUCUCAAUGUCUCUGAGUUGGCUUUCUAAACCCUCAACAUAGGCUACUAACUCUGGUGGUUGUAGAGCCCAAAUGCGUUGUGUUUUACAAAAUUGAAUUUGCCUUUUGAGAUGAGUUUUGACACGUUGAAGUGGUUUAAGAAUGUUCAGGAGGAACGGUCUAAGUAUGAGACUCAUGAUUAAAAAUGAUAAGAGAAAACUUAAUGGUAAAAUAAACACACUUAUGCAAAAACAAUUUCAAUUAGCAAAAGAAUAAUAAUAAAAAGAAAGAAAGAAAAAUCAAAUCAACGAGAAGAAAAAAAAAAUCAAUUCAAAUUUGGUGGGUCACUCAAAUUUAUUUCGGUGUCUUCUUCAUGUGGUUGGUACUCUAGAUAUGACUUUAAUCUUUGACCAUUAACUUUAAACGUGACACCAUUCUUUGGGUCCUUAAUUUCAAUUGCCCCAUGUGGAAAAACAGUAUGAACAAUAAAUGGGCCAGACCAUCGAGAGCGUAACUUACCUGGGAAUAGGUGCAAGCGAGAAUUGAAUAAAAGCACUCUCUGACCUGGAGUGAACGAUUUUCUCAUAAUUUGCUUAUCAUGGAAGACUUUCAUUCGUUGCUUGUAAAUCUUGGCAUUUUCGUACGCGUCAUUGCGAAUUUCUUCAAGUUCUGCCAGCUGUAAUCUUCUUUCUGAGCUGGCUUGCUGCAUGUCAAAAUUGAAUUUCUUGAUGGCCCAAUAUGCACGAUGCUCGAGUUCCACAGGUAGGUGGCAAGCUUUUCCAUACACUAGCCUGUAGGGUGACAUCCCAAUCGGGGUCUUGAAAGCCGUUCUAUAUGCCCAUAAGGCAUCAUCAAGUCUUAAUGACCAAUCUUUUCUGUCCGGCCUCACCGUUUUUUCUAAUAUGUGCUUUAUUUCUCGAUUGGAGAUCUCAACUUGGCCACUGGUUUGCGGAUGAUACGGGGUCGCCACUUUGUGUGUGAUUGAAUACUUUGUCAAAAGAGCUUUGAAUGCUUUGUUACAAAAGUGGGCACCACCAUCACUGAUUAUCGCUCGAGGGAAUCCAAAGCGUGAAACAAUGUUGCUUUUCAAAAAUGCUAUCACCACCUUGUGAUCAUUGGUCCUACAUGGAAUAGCUUCUACCCAUUUUGAUACAUAGUCAACAGCAACCAAUAUGUAUUGAUGACCAAAAGACGGGGGAAAAGGUCCCAUGAAGUCGAUACCCCAUACGUCACAUCAUAUUCCUUCGCGUAAUGCUUCCCAUUCGUUGACACCUAUCACAUGAAGAACAGAAAGUAUAAGCGUCUCGAAAUAUAGAUGGCCAAUAGAAACCACAUUGUAAAACUUUAGUCGCGGUUUUCUUAGCACUGAAAUGGCCUCCACAAGCUUGUUCAUGGCAGAAUGAAAGGAUAUUCUGAAUUUCACUUUCUGGGACACAUCGUCUAACAAUUUGGUCUGCACAAUACUUGAACAAAUACGGGUCAUCCCAAAAGAAAUUCUUUAUCUCUGCAAAGAAUUUAGCCUUGUCUUGCUUGGUCCAAUGCUCUGGAAGUUUAUCUGUAACAAGAUAAUUAACUAUAUCAGCAUACCAAGGUAAUACUUCCACAUUCAUUAAUUGUUCAUCUGGAAAUGACUCAUUCAAUGGUAAUGAUUCUGUAAUUGUGUCAAAAUGGAGACGAGAGAGAUGGUCCGCCACAACAUUUUCUGACCCUUUCUUAUCUUUGAAUUCCAAGUCAAAUUCCUGCAAAAGUAACACCCAACGAAUUAGUCUAGCUUUUGCAUCUUUCUUUGUGAGAAGAUAUUUAAGAGCAGCAUGAUCUGUGAACACAAUUAUUUUACAACCAAUGAGAUAAGAUCGAAAUUUUUCCAAUGCAAACACUACUGCUAGCAUUUCUUUUUCAGUAGUUGAAUAGUUCAACUGUGCAUCAUUCAAUGUCAUACUAGCAUAGUAAAUAACAUGGGGAAUUCGAUCAACUCUUUGUCCUAAUACUGCUCCUACUGCAUAAUCAGAUGCAUCACACAUGAGCUCAAAUGGUAAUUUCCAGUUCGGGGCCUGAAUGAUGGGUGAUGAUGUCAACAACUGUUUUAAUUUUUCAAACGCCAUAAGACAUGAAUCAUUAAAGAUAAAAGGUACAUCCUUAGCAAGUAAAUUGCAUAAGGGUCUAGAAACUUUGCUAAAAUCUUUAAUGAAACGUCUAUAGAAACCAGCAUGCCCAAGGAAAGAUCUUACUUCUCUGACUGUUUUGGGUGGAGGAAGAUUAGAAAUGAGAUCCACCUUGGCUUUGUCAACCUCAAUACCUUUACUCGAAAUGAUGUGACCGAGAACAAUACCUUGUUUUACCAUAAAAUGGCAUUUCUCCCAAUUUAAGACCAAGUUCUUCUCGAUACAUCUCUGCAGAACUAGUGUUAGAUGAUGUAAACAUUGAUCAAAUGAAUCACCAAAGACAGAAAAGUCAUCCAUAAAGACUUCAAGAAAUCGUUCAACCAUAUCAGAAAAAAUGCUUAGCAUGCAUCGUUGAAAUGUAGCAGGUGCAUUACAUAAUCCAAAUGGCAUUCUCCUAUAUGCAAAUGUGCCAAAAGGGCAAGUGAAAGUAGUUUUCUCUUGAUCUUUUGGUGCUAUGGGAAUCUGAUUAUAUCCUGAGUAGCCAUCUAGAAAGUAAUAAAAUUCAUGGCCUGCUAAUCUAUCAAGCAUUUGAUCAAUAAAUGGUAAAGGAAAAUGGUCUUUACGUGUGACAGAAUUCAACUUUCUAUAAUCAAUGCAUACACGCCAUCCUGUAGUUACUCUAGUGGGUAUCAAUUCAUUAUCAGCAUUCGUAACUACUGUGACUCCUGACUUUUUGGGGACAACUUGUACAGGACUGACCCAUGAACUAUCAGAAAUUGGAUAAAUGAUACCUGCAUCUAAUAGCUUAAGGACUUCAGUUCUAACAACUUCUUUCAUGUUAGGAUUUAACCGACGUUGCAUCUCCCUAGUAGUUUUAGCAUUUUCAUCAAGGUGAAUGUAAUGCAUGCAGUCUACUGGGUUUAUACCUUUAAUGUCUGCUAUGGUCCAUCCUAAUGCCCCUUUGUGCUCUUUCAAAACAUCCAACAACUUACCUUUUUGUUCGUCAUUGAGGGAUGCUGAGAUGAUUACCGGUAGAGUACUUUCUUCUCCCAAAAACGCAUAUUCCAAAGUGUUGGGCAAUGGUUUGAGCUCGAGUUUCGGUGGUGAUUCUGAUGAUGGAAUGAGUUGCUUCUCUGAUGGUGCUAGUUGCUCAACUCUUGAUUUCCAUUUAUUAGUGUCCAUAGAUGGUGCUGAGUCAAGCAGGGCGUUGACCUCAUCAACCGAUCUGUCAAUAUCAAAAUCAAAACCAAAGUGAGUUAAACAUGUUUGUAAAGGAUCAUCACUAAGGUUUGAAAGAAAAGUGUCAUCAACUAAUGCUUCGAUUAAAUCCACAUCAACAAUUCCAUCAUCUGCACUGUGAGGUUGUUUGGCAAUGUUGAAGAUGUUCAUCUCCAUAGUCAUGUUGCCGAAGGACAACUGCAUAUUUCCAGUUCUACAUUGAAUGUGAGCAUCCGCAGUUGCCAAGAAAGGUCGGCCUAGAAUAAUGGGGAUGUGCUUCCUUGAAUCCUGUAUUGGUUGAGUGUCAAUUACAAUGAAGUCAACAGGAAAAUAAAAUUUGUCUACCUGGAUAAGCACGUCCUCCACAAUACCACGAGGUAUUUUUGUGGACCGAUCUGCAAGUUGUAACACCACUGGAGUUGGGUGUAAUUCUCCCAGUCCAAGUUUCACAAACACUGAAUAAGGUAACAGAUUUACACUAGCUCCUAAAUCCAACAAAGCAUUCUCAAUUGUGUGGUUCCCUAUACUACAUGAGAUAGUGGGGGAGCCUGGGUCUUUGCAUUUUAAAGGAAUUUUAUGUUGGAGUAUAGAACUAACGUUUUCUGUUAAAAAUGCCUUCUUUUGAACAUGCAUGUUUCUCUUUUUAGUACAAAGGUCUUUAAGAAACUUGGCAUAAGAUGGAACUUGUUUAAUAGCAUCAAGCAAAGGGAUGUUAACACUUACCUGUUUGAAGAUUUCAAGAAUCUCACCUGUGGAUUUUCCCUUUUUUCCUUUAGCUAACCUCUGAGAAAAUGGAGCUUUCGGAACAUAUUCUCGUGGGUUAGUUUCUUCUUUCUCCUCCGGUGAUGAGUCCUCAACAUUCACAGGUACAAUUUGAUUUUCUUUUGUCACCGGCAUCUCCACUUUGUUGUCGACUUCCUUUCCUUUUCGCAAGGUCAUUACUGCUUUGACCUCUCCAUGUUGCUGUGGUGAACUAGUACUUGCUUCAUGUACUCCUUUAGGAUUAGGCACUGAUUGACUUGGAAAUUUACCUUUCUCAACGGUCAUUGCCAAGGUCUGAACUGAAGAAGCAAGUUGUCCCACCAUCUUCUCGAGGCUUGAAACUGAUUGAGCUUGUGAGUUGAAGCCUGCUCUCAAUUCAUUUCGUAGUCCAUCAAUGGUGCGGUUCUAUUGCUCAAUCGUGGAGUGAGUAACAUUCUUGAAAUUUUGGAAUGCAUCCUCCCAUGGUCUGGGUUGAGAGUAGUUCUGAUUCUGAUUGAAUGGUCUAAAUGGGGGCUGAGAGGCUUGAGGAUUUUGUGGAAUUGGUGGAGCUGGAGCUGUUGGUCCAUUCUGUUGGAAUCCUUGAGACCAUGAAAAAUUGGGGUGGUCUCUCCAUCCAGGGUUAUAUGUGUUGGAGUAUGGGUUGUAAUUUGAUGGCUUUCUCAUUACACCUAUGGCAUUGGCUUGAUCUGAGUAUGAGUCAUGGUCAUGUGGCUCUGUUGAUUUAGCAGUCGAUAAUGAUGCUAUUUGUCGAGCAAGACCUUCAACCAUCUCCUUGACUUCUUUGAUUCCCGAAGUUGACUCGCCAAUUUGAACCUCAUUCACUCCUUUAAUCCUUCUAGUAUUCCUGAGUGAUCGACUCCGUUGUUGGGAAUUGUCCGCUUGUCGCUGGAAGAAUUCCCAAAUUUCUGAUGCACUUUUUGACAUUAGCUCUCCUCCACUUGUUGCCAUUAGCCAUUCUUGCACAUUUGGUAGUAAUCCCUCCAAAAAGUAUUGGCAUUGGUGCCAUUUCUCGUACCCAUGAUGUGGACACUUCAAGAGUAGCCCAUUGAAUCGCUCCCAUGUUUCGAAAAAUUGCUCGUCCUCUCUCUGGGUAAACUCCGAGAUUUCCCUGCGAAUAGCAUUGGUUUUAUGCACUGGGAAAUAUUUAUUUAAAAAUUUUGUAACCAUUUGUUCCCAUGAUGCAAUGCUAUUAGCAGGCAAUGUAUUAAGCCAUGAACGAGCUCUAUCUUUUAAAGAAAAUGGGAAUAGUCUAAGUUUAACAUCAUCAUCUGAAAAAUUCUCAUAUUUGAAUGUUUGACAAAUGGCAUGAAAAUCAUUCAAAUGAUUAUAUGGAUCCUCAUUUUCUAGGCCAUAAAAUGUAGGGAGACAAUUUAACACACUAGGUUUUAAUUCAAAACUCCUAGCAGCUACAUUUGGGUAUCUUAUGCAUGACGUGCUCAAAUUAGCUAAGGGACUAAAAUAGUCCUUAAAUGGCCUCUCCUGUGGUGCUUGUAAAUCCAUUUUAUUUUUAACGUGUUUGUGUGUGCGAAGUGUUUUUUCUAAUUCAAGGUCUAUAGGUUCAAGAUUAGGUAAUAAUGACCUACGACCAUGCAUGCAAAAUAAAUAAAAUAAAAAUAAAGAUGCAAACAAAACAAAAAUAAAGAUGGGAACAAAACAAAUAAAAAUAAAGAAGAGGGAGAAAUUACGAUACUAACCUUAUUGCGCUAUUACAACCUUUCUAUAAAAAUACACAAAAAUAAAUACGUGAAAGAAAUUAACUAAAAAUUAAAUUAAUAAGAUAAACAAAAAAAUUACAAAGAAAAAAUAAAUGGAAAAUUAAAUUACAAAAUUUUAAAGAAGAGAAAAAGAAAAGAAAUACUAACCUUUAAAUGUAGAUUCACUUUUUUUUUCUUUUUUUUUUAAUAAUAAAAAAAUACAAGAAAACAAAUAAAAGAAAUUAUUCACAAAAAUUAAUUCUAUGAAUUAAAAUUACUUACCUCCCCGGCAACGGCGCCAAAAACUUGUUGUGCAAAUUUUAAUGUACUCGCAAGCGCACGAAUCUAUUGUAGUAUAGAUCUAUGGUGACGAGUGUCGAUCCCACGAGGAGGUGGAUUUUAAUUGUGUAUAGAAUUAAUUUUGUAAAUGGGUUGUUGGAUUUAUGGUGGAAAUGAUUUGGUAUAUGCUAAAACUUAAAUUAAAAUGGCGAGAAUAAAUUCUAAAAUUGGAAUUGCAAUGGCGAGAAUAAAUUGAAGAUAAUUCUAUUGAAAUGACGUACUUGGGUAUCUGGAUCCGUAUCAACAUGCAUCAUGGGCUAAAUAAUCCGUAUUAAUGCCAAUUAAAUCAUGAGGGGGGAAUCCACACCUCAUGAACCACGCUCUAAUCAAUAUGGUGCUAAGGGCUUAUCGUGCCAAAUAAUAAUAACCUUAUACUAGAGAGCCGGUGUAACCAAGGCGGUAUCUAGACAAGACUAUUAUUAUUUGUCGACGAGAAGUCAAAACAUCCACAAAAAUUAGAGGGGGAGAGAAAAUAAAUUUACCAAAUUAAGCCCAUGACACAUGUUGAGACUUCACCUUCAACCCAAGCUUGAAAGAAAAUUAGCCACUCAUAAUUGAACUAGGGGCAAAAUGGGAAUUUAUUAAAAUACGAAGAAAAUACAAGAUGGAGAAGGAAUUACAGAAAAUGGAUCCCAAAAAUGGAUUCAGAGAUAUCAAAUUAGGGGGGGGAGGCCCCCUUUUUAUAGAUACAUGGAGUAAAUCAUGGCCAUCGGAUUAAAAACAGUUUGGACGCUCAGGAUUGCGCCACGUCAUCAGUCAACAGUUUGACCACGCGGAUGAACAGUAACACGGUUUGACCCGACUUUGAACAGUAACGCGGUUUGACCCGGAUGAACAGUAACGCGGUUUGGUUGAAAAUAAUCCUGUGUGAUGCAUGCACCGUACGCGAGAUUUUUUGUCCACUGAUAUGCUGCCACGUCACCAUCAACAGUACAUGUGAAUAGUGCCAUUUUUCCUUUUAUGCUCCUCCUAAGGUUUUCGACCGUCCUGAGUUCAAAAGUGAUGUCCGUUUUGCCGUCUGAUCUCUCCUUUAUUGUGAAAUGACUAUAAUGCCCCUAAAAUACAUAAAAUACUUAAUUAAAAUAAAACACAUGUAAUUAAAUCACAAGAAGGUUAAAUAUAUAAAAGUAAGGGUUGUUAGUAAGACUUAAAAUGUAAAAUGACGGUUUUCUCCUUUAUAAAUAUGCAUUUUCUAACACUCAACAAUUAGGUCCAAUAAAUAUGCAGGAACCCCCUGUGGAUACUCGAUCAUCAGGAUCACCAGCAUAGUUGGCAUCAGAAAAGGCUUGUAGUUCUAUUGAACCAGAUGAAUAAAGCAGACCAUGAGUGGUUGUACCCUUCAAAUACCGCAAGAUGCGUUUAACUGCACACCAAUGAGUUGUUGUAGGACAAUGCAUGUAUUGACAAACCUGAUUAACGACAAAUGAAAUAUCCGGACGAGUGAUUGUAAGAUACUGCAAAGCACCAACAACACUACGAUAUUCGGUGGGAUUUGAAAGUAAAUCACCAUCAAACAGACUGAGACGACGACCACUCACUGCUGGUGUUGUCAUAGGCUUUGAAUGGAGGAACACAGUGCGAUGUAAAAGAUCUAGAAUAUACUUGGUUUGACAUAAGUUGAGCCCCAUUGCUGUUUGAGUAGCUUCAAUACCCAGAAAAUAAUGUACAGGACCAAGAUCUUUCAUAGAUAAUAAUUUGCUCAUAUGAUGUAUCAUUUGAGAAAUAUGAUAUGAACUAUUUCCCGUAAUUAAAAUAUCAUCAACAUAGAUGAGUAAAUAUAGAAGCAUUGAAUUAUGUGAAGAAAUAAAUAGAGAAUAGUCUGCUAGUGAUUCAUGAAAGCCCAAUUGUUCUAAAUGACUAGAGAAACAUUGAAACCAUGCCCUAGGAGCUUGUUUAAGGCCGUAGAGAGAUCGGCGAAGCUUACACACAAAAGUAGGAUAUUGUGGAUCAAUAAAGCCAAUAGGUUGGCGCAUAUAGACAUCCUCCUGUAAAUAACCAUGCAGGAAAGCAUUUUGCACAUCUAACUGUCGAAUAGGCCAGCUAUUGGUAACAUAUAUAGCUAAAAUGAGACGAAUGGUAUUGUGAUUAACCACUGGACUGAACGUCUCACCAAAAUCAAGGCCAGGUUGUUGAUGAAAACCAUUAGCAACUAAACGAGCUUCAUAACGCUCAAUACUUCCAUCAACUUUUUGCUUAAUUCGAUACACCCAUUUAUUUGGAAGGACAUUGUAAGAUGGAUGUGGAGGAACUAAUACCCAAGUACCAGCUCUUUGAAGAGCAUUAAAUUCAUCACCCAUUGCCUGUCGCCAACGAGAUUCCUUAUUUGCAUGUACAAAACCAUUAGGCUCAACAGCAUCAUUAGUAACUACAUUUGCAUAUUUUAGGUUUGGUUUCACAAUACCGGCUCUUGCUCGAGUGACCAUUGGAUGAGAAGAUAAUGCAUCCGAAGUAAUAUUAUCACAGGGCAUCGAUGGUGUCAGUGUAGGUGAAGAUAAUGAUUCUGGAAUUGUAUUAUUACUUGAAUUGGUAGGGGUCGAAUUAAGGCUAAGAGAAUUUGUAUUUGAGAUGAGUGGAGUGGAGGAAGAUGAAGAGGCACUUGAAUGUAAUGAUGGAGAAUUAAUUGGAGAUGAUAGGGAAUGUGGUAAAGGUGAAUUAAAUAAAGAUGGUGACGUGGCUUGGGAAGGAGAUUGUGAUGUAGGUUUUGUUGGAGCUGAAUGUGAAGUAUUAGCAUUAAUCCAAAGAAUAUUGAGUCCUGUAGAAUCUGACAUUGAAGUACUCACCCCCGGAGGCCUAGCAGUAACAUGGUCAACGAAAGGAAAUUUAUUUUCAUUCGAAAGGAAAUUUAUUUUCAUUAAAAAGAACAUGACGAGAUAUAAAUACAGUGCCUGAAGGAAUAUGCAAACAACGAUAUCCAUGUUGAUUGAAUGAGUAUCCCAAGAAAACACACUCUUUAGAAUGAAAUUGUAAUUUAUUUGAAUUGUAAGGGCGAAGAUAAGGGUAACAUGCACAUCCAAAGGUCUUUAAAAAAUCAUAUUGAGGAGUUUUAGAAAAUAGUAAAGAGUACGGUACUCGAAAUUUUAAAGAUUGAGAUGGUAGACGAUUAAUUAAAUAUACAGAUGUAUAAAAAGCUUCAGUCCAAUAAGUAGUAGGCAUGGAGGCAUGUGCAAGUAAAGUUAAGCCCAUGUCAACAAUUUGUCUAUGUUUACGUUCAGCAAUACCAUUUUGUUCAGGAUGAUGAGGACAUGUGAGAUGAUGAUUAAUGCCAUGAGUAUUUAGAUAAUCCUUAAAUUGAUGAUUUAACAUAUUCACCACCACCAUCAGUUUGAAGUGACUUAAUAGUAGUGGAAAACAUAUUUUCGACCAACGAUUUAAAAGUUUUAAAAAUUAUAAAAACACCAGAUUUCAAUCGCAUAGGAUAAAGCCAUACAUAUCUGGAAAAAUUAUUAAUAAAGAUAACAUAAUAUUUAUAACCAGAAAUAGAACGAAUAAGAGAGGUCCAAACAUCAGAAUGUAUUAAUUCCAAAGGAGAAUGAGAGACUGAAAAAGAACCUGUAAAAGGUAAUUUCUGACUCUUUCCUAAAGGACAUGACGAACAAAAAAAUAAAGAUCGAGAUCCCAAAAUGAGUAGCUUAUUAAAAGAUAUAAGUUUAUUUAAAACUAUGGAUGAAGGAUGUCCAAGCCGUGAAUGCCAAAUUCGAGCAUCACUACGAACACCAACAUAAGAAAAUGGAUGACUAGGUUGAAAAAUUCGACCAGGAAAUAGAUAAAGACCAUUACUGCUCGGUCCGCGGAAAAGUGUCUUCUUCGUUGCCAGAUCCUGUUCAACAAAAUAAUCAGGAAAGAAGGUGAAACUACAAUGAUUGUCAUUAGCAAAUUUAUGAACGGAUAAAAUAUUAUGGGAAGCUUGUGGACAAUGAUGAACAUCAUUUAAAAGAAAAGUGGAAGAAUUAGCAGAUAAGUAAGAAUGACCAAUGGAUUUAAUAGGCAAACCUGAACCAUUGACGACACCACUGAUGGUAUCCUGACCAUUGUAAUCACAAGAAUGCAUUAAAUUCCCAUUAUCUGGAGUUAUAUGAGCAUUAGCACCAGUAUCUGUUAACCAAUUUGGGGAACUAAAAGAUGUUGAUGUAGAAAUCAUUGCAGAAAGCCGUUGGGGAGGGAUACGACCCUCAUAUGCAUGAUUCAUGCGAUUGUAGCAAUCAAUAGCUGAGUGACCCAUUUUCUGACAGAUUUGGCAUUGAAUCCAAUUACUAGAAGGAAAAGGACCCAUUGGGUGUUUGUUGAUAGGACCAUUACCAGGAUUGAAAUUUGGCGAAGAGGAAAAAUUCCCAUGUCCUGGAGUUGGCAGUAGCCCUCUAUUUUGAGAACCAAAACCAGUAUGAUUAGAACCACUAGACCAUCCAGUAAAACUGUUACCACCAUUGAAACCCCCAGAAAAAUUAUUAACACCACCACGACCACCAUUAUUACGCAGGAAGCCACGACCACCUCUAUUAUUUGGGCCACCUCGAGUGGCUUUCAUGACAACUGUUGAGUCGGAUGGAUAAAGAUAUUGUUUAAUAGAAGUGAGACGUCGCUCAGCACUCAAAAGUAAAGCUUCAAGACCAGCAUAACUAAUAGGAGUUUCACGAGCUUGAAUAGAGGCAACUGUAUUUUCAUAUAAAGGACCAACAUUACUCAUAAUGAUGGAGACCAAGUCUUCAUCAGAAAUAGGACUACCAGAGAGAGAGAGAUUGUCAGCAAUAGAGUGAAUUUUAUCUAGAAAAUUAGAAAUAGAAAGAUCACCACGUUUAAUAGUAACUAGCUUAGUGCGCAACUCGACGAUUCGUUGUUGAUUUUGGGAAGCAAAACAUUGUUCUAAAGAAGACCAGACAGCACGUGCAGAAGUGUAACGUGCAACAGUACUUAGCAAGGAUUGAGAAAGAGAGCCAUUAAUCCAAGAGAGAACAAGUUGAUCGUUCUGAAUCCAUUCCUCAUAUGCUGGAUUAAUUAUAUCAGUUACUUCUCCAUUUUCGUCUUUUAGAAAAGGAGCAGGACAAAUGCUUGUGCCAUCAACAUAUUUUUGCAAAUUACGACUGCGAAGAAGAGGCACAAUUUGAGCAAGCCACAAAGGAUAAUUAUUUCGGUCAAGACGAACAUUGACUGAAUUGGUAAUAUUAGAGGGCAGAGACGAAGAACUAGCAUGGGAAGUGGAAGAAGAACUCAUCAUGAAAAGAUUGAGAAUUUAACACAAAGGUCGUUAGACUUAUAAAGCUCUGAUACCAUAGAACAAUAAAACUCUGGAGGACGAUUUGUAAGCCUCAGUUUUCAAUGAGGUUCAUAUCACAUAUACUUCACUUAUAUACAAGCUAAGAAUACAUAUGAUAAACAUUAGCUUACAAGAUAACUACAAGGAUAAUUACAAGACUAACGAUAACUACAAAGAUAAUUACAAGACUAACGAUAAGAAUAUUUUAAGUUUUAUCUUUAUCGUUAUUAGUUUCUUCUUCAUGCAAAUUGGGGCACGAAGUGAAUAAGCAAUGGGAUUAUUGGGAUCACUUGAAAAGAAAAAAUCUGAAAAUCCUGUAAAAGUUUGUGAUUUUGCUAAAUGAUUACACUAUCCUUAUGAGAUGAUUAAUUUUUCACGACGGUUAACAGAAAAGUGAAUAUCUAUUGUGCUUUAUAAAUUUUAGGUGAAUAAUUGUAAAAGAAAAAAGCGUUCGUAUAUUUUUAAUAAAAUAUGAAUCUUCGAAUAGUUGGUGGAUACUUAAAAGCCAUAUUACCUACACAAGUCAGUUAAGCUAGCCUGGAUAUCCUCCAGAAUAGAAAGGUGGUCAAUAAGUUGGGCAAAGGGGAAUCUCAUUUUCCCGCGCAAUUGUAAAUAGUGCAAGCCUUCCUAACAUAUUAAUAUAAUUUUAAUAAUAAUAAAUUAUUAUGUCAACCUAUAAUCCUAUUUGACUAAUCCCAUAGUCCUCAAGAAUAAGCAAUCUUAUGUCACUUUAACUCCCCAAAAUUAGGAUAGGGUAUAAUUUGUUUCAAAUAGUCCAAUCUGAUAAGAGUCAAAUAAUAUUGUGGAAAUAAAACAAUCAAUCAAAUGAUUAAUUGUUGCCAUCUUAAUUAUUGAUUAAAAAGGAUUGUUUGUCAAUUUUAUUCCUAUUUUAUGUUAAUUGUAUCAAAUACUUGUAUAAAUUCAGCCUUUGUGCUCUUGAAUGAAUAAGAGUGAAAUUUAUCUUUUCUCUAUAAUUCCAAAAAGGGAAAAUAUCCACCGUCCACCUGUUUUUUUCAACUUUUUUAAAAAUACACAAUUUUUUUUUUUGGCUAGAUCCACCUAAAGUUACAUUUUAUUUCACUUUUCUACUUCCGUUUGGAAUCUGUUAAGAAAACUAACAGAAACUUAAAAAAAUAACAAUUUUACCCCCCAAAACGAAAAUUACAAUUUCACCUUAAAAAUUACCAAAAAUAAUUAGAUUAAUUCUAAUUAUUUUUCCCAUCGGUCAAUAAAGAAAUUAAUUCCACAAACAUCAAAUGCAAGGUUUUUUUUUAAAUAUGUCUAUAAUUAGAAUGCUAAAUUAUAAUAUUAGUAUUAAAAAUAGCCAAUCUUGCAAACCAUCAAUUAAAUUUAAGAUAAGUAGAGUUUUAUUAUUCAUUGAAUUAUAAUCUCUAGUAGUUAAGACUUUUUUGUACUUCAUUAACGUACCAAUAAUGAUAUUCAUUAUUAAAUCUGAUUAUUUUUGAGAUUUUUUAGAGUGAAAUUGUAAUUUUCAUUUGGGGGUAAAAUGGUCAUUUUUUAAAAUUUCGUUAGUUUUCUUAACGGAUUCUAAACGGAAGUGGAAAAGUGAAACAAAAUGUAACUUUAGGUGGAUUCCAGAAAAAAAAGAAUUGUGUAUUUUUGAGAAAGUUGAGAAAAACAGGUGGACGGUAGAUAUUUUCCCUUCCAAAAAUUUUUAAUAGGAUUAGAGCGUGUUUGAGAGUCCUCAAAUUCAUGGGUUUAAGCUUAGCCAUCAUGUCAAUAAUGGAUUUAUGGAGUACGGUGGUCUAAGUGAGAGUAAUGUGAGUUCCUUUUCAAUUGAUUUUCAGUUUCUACAUUUGGGAAAAAAGAAAAGAAAAAAAAGGUUGUUCGGCCGCACCAUUAAUAACCACUUCCACCAUCACAAAGGAGAUAAUAUCAAAAGAAAGAGGGAAUGAAAGAGAAUCCUCAAAAUUGAUAUUUUUCUUGACAAGAUCAAAGGAAUGGUUUUCUAAAUAACGGAAGAUUUCUUUCAAAAAGAUCAAAGGAACGGCUUUCAUAUUAAAAGAAUUCCUGGAUUAAAGGGUUUUACUAAUGUUUUGCAUUGGCUUAAAAAAAAGUGUGCAUCAAAAUAAUUAGAAGAUUUCUUAGACAAAAAGGAAUGCUUUCUAAUUAGUUACACCACAUUUGAAUGAGAUUGAAAAUAAGAAUUUAACGAUUUACAAUUUUUAGUGCUUCGGCCCGAAUAUUAAAGGUUAUGAGUUGAGAUAAGGCUUAAGAAAUCAAGGUCCAUUCCAUUCUGAGGCAAGGUUAGGGCCUUACCAAAACCUUUAACCCAAUCCUUGACCCUUAAGUUAAUUUGAAAAUUAAAAAAUAUGUAACACUUAAAAUUAUUAAAAUAGACACACCAAGUAGUCACAAUUGUACCUUAAGUGUAUUUGUCAUUAUUUCAUAUUAAUUUAGUUAUUUUGUAUUUGAAUUAUUUAUUUAUUGUUAGUUUGGUUAAUAUGAUAAUCUUGUUAGAUUGUUACAUGUUGUAUUGUUAUUAAAACUAAAUAAAAAUAAAUUAUUAAAUUCCUUACAAAUAAAUUCAACAUAAAAAUGGAACAGUGAGUCAGUGAUAAUACAUUAUUUUAAUUAAACAUUAAAAAUAGGAGUCCCAUAAAAAUUUUUUUUUUUAAAAAGCCUAAGGUGGAUCCACUAGUCUACCUAACCAACAUCUUUGGGUCCGCCUAAGUUACAUUUAACGUAACUUAUGAUUGACUCGCAAAAUAUUAAUUAGCUUCAUAUACGCUAUUUUAUUUAUAAUUUAUUCAUAAGUAUUAUAAAAUAAAGUAUAAGAAACUCAACAAAAUUUUACAAUACAAAAUAUUUGAGAAUAAUUAUAAAUAAAUUGUAAAUAAUAUAGAGUAUAGGAGGCUAAAUGAUAUUUUGCGGGUCAGCCGGUACCAGGGUAAAUGUAACUUAAACUCAACUUUAAGUACAACAGCUACUCAUUUAUUAGCACGCAGACAAAAAAGUUUUGCUAUCCGGCUAAGGCAAACAUCAAUUCAAAACUGCCCAAAAAGGGUAAAUCUAGAUUUUUGCCUCGCCAGGGCAAAGCAGUAUCAUCACCAAAUAAAUCCCCGCAUAAUUGUAACAUUAAUCGUAAUUAUACUUACAUGUACGUAAUUCAAAGAUCUUCUAGGCCAUUGACAAAGAGAGGAGCAAAAACCUCCAUUUGUUGCUUCUUCAAAACGACACCAAUCUCAACACCACCACCUCCAUCUUUGCUCUCCACCAAAGAAAUAGCCCCUGUCCUGUCUACUGACACAAUCUCCACCUUCUUAGGCCUCCCCCACCCGAAAUCGGACCCGUAGUCAUCAAAACGGUUUGACCCGGCUGCCGUUAGCAUUACAUGUCCUUUCUCUUUCAACAUCGCAAUUGUCUUUACCAUCUUAUCCUCUGAUCCUUGCACCCCAUCCCCCUUCAGCACUUUAAUCAUUUCACUUAAUUUCUCUGCAACAACAGCAACCCCAUCGUCCCGUAUCAUAUCACUUGCUUUUGCUUCCCCAAUUACACUUCCAAUACAAUUUCCAAAAUAAUUAGUAGGAAUUGGAGGAUCCAGACGGCCCCUGCAAUCCCCUCCCACCGCAAACUUAACGGUUGUGUUAGCUUCUACUCGUUUGGCUAUAAUCUGGCAAACGUACGCGUGAGCACAUGUAAGCACAAAAGUCGAUAAAUGAAGUUGUCUUGAUUCCCCAGCUUCAUUAUUGAUUUUGUUAACCUUAUCUCUAAGCUUCUUUAUGACUUCACCACUCAAUUCAAAUGUUUUUCGAACAAAGUCGGAGCUUCCUUCUUUAUCAACCGCUGUAGCCAAAACCUUCAAGCUUCGUGUGUCGGACGAUCCGGUAAAAUCCAUCCAGUGCUUAACGUACACCAUGUCGAUCCCAUCGGGAUCUUUGAUGACCGUACGGUCAAAACAUGGGGUAAGUUCCGGUGCCAAAGAAGGAUUAGCGUUGUGAACGUCUGAUGAUUGAAUUUGUUUGGAAAAAUAAGCCCAUGAUUUGAUAAACAUCGUACAACUUUUCCCAUCAAGAAGCGAAUGGUGAUACGAGACACCAAUUGAGAAGCCUUGAUUAGGAAAAUAUGUUAUUUGGAUGGCGAUUACCUCGGCUUUGUCGUCCGAUAUGGAUAACUGGGGCACCAAAGGAUUAAACUCUGCAGCAUCACGAAUCCCGCUCCCAGAUAGGAGAGCAAAAUCGGAGUUGGACUCGGCGAGUGUGAGCGAAACGCCGUCGUCUGGAAAGUAGUAGAUGGCUGGCUUAGCGGCAUCCGGAGGCCACAUCAAGUGACCAGCGAGCGGGGUGUAGUGAAGGAGAGUGAGGGAGAGGGCGUGUUUCAGUUUUGGGAGGAUUGCUGAGUUGAAUGAAUCGCUGGUUAACUCAGUGAUUUGAUACAAGAAGAGGCGUUCAACAGGAGGGAACUUGAACCAGUAAGUGUCGAAGUAGGUGAGCGGAAGAGUGAACGGAGCCGCGGUUGUUGAGUUGGAGGAGAACGGGGUGAGUUUAGUAACCUCGUGAACUUUGACUUUGCUAUUGUUUUGGGUUUCCGCCAUGAGGCUGAUGAUCAGUAGAGAUGAAAUCAGAUGA